rnacentral:rRNA from 1 species
AAUGAACGCUGGCGGCGUGCUUAACACAUGCAAGUCGAACGAGAAUCUGUGGAUCGAGGAUUCGUCCAAGUGAAGCAGAGGACAGUGGCGGACGGGUGAGUAACGCGUGAGGAACCUGCCUUUCAGAGGGGGACAACAGUUGGAAACGACUGCUAAUACCGCAUGAUACAUUUGGGUGGCAUCAUCUGAAUGUCAAAGAUUUAUCGCUGAAAGAUGGCCUCGCGUCUGAUUAGCUGGUUGGUGAGGUAACGGCCCACCAAGGCGACGAUCAGUAGCCGGACUGAGAGGUUGACCGGCCACAUUGGGACUGAGAUACGGCCCAGACUCCUACGGGAGGCAGCAGUGGGGAAUAUUGGGCAAUGGGCGCAAGCCUGACCCAGCAACGCCGCGUGAAGGAAGAAGGCUUUCGGGUUGUAAACUUCUUUUAAAAGGGAAGAGCAGAAGACUGUACCUCUAGAAUAAGCCACGGCUAACUACGUGCCAGCAGCCGCGGUAAUACGUAGGUGGCAAGCGUUGUCCGGAUUUACUGGGUGUAAAGGGCGUGUAGCCGGGAAUGCAAGUCAGAUGUGAAAUCCAUGGGCUUAACCCAUGAACUGCAUUUGAAACUGUAUUUCUUGAGUACUGGAGAGGCAAUCGGAAUUCCUAGUGUAGCGGUGAAAUGCGUAGAUAUUAGGAGGAACACCAGUGGCGAAGGCGGAUUGCUGGACAGCAACUGACGGUGAGGCGCGAAAGUGUGGGGAGCAAACAGGAUUAGAUACCCUGGUAGUCCACACUGUAAACGAUGAAUACUAGGUGUGCGGGGACUGAC